GGCAGGUUGCCCGAGUGGCCAAAGGGAACAGACUGUAAAUCUGUCGGCUGAUGCCUACGCAGGUUCGAACCCUGCACCUGCCACCA
rnacentral:tRNA from 2 species